rnacentral:lncRNA from 1 species
GCAUAUUUAUGUGUAUUUCUGUAUCACGGCAACAGUGGCGCAAGCUGUUUGUUGAUCUGUUGUCAAGUGUGAGAUGACGGCAGAGGAGGAGGACAGGCCACGAGCAGACAGCUCCACCUGCUAAUGAUUCACCCUCCGUACAGACACAUGCUUUGUGUGGUUUCGCAGAAUAGUUCAGUGUAUCACCAGCAAAAUGCUGGAGAACAACAAGGCGCUGCCCUCCUGAGACGGAGCCGUGGGCCCAGACAAAGGUGGGCCUGUGGUCCGGUCCAAUCACAACCUGUGGAAAAUCCCCCGCCGCUGCCGGGCCAAGAUGCCGGCGCUGCGAGAGGAAUGUGAGAGGCAGACGAGUCCAGAAGCAACGCGGGCACGAGGGAAUUCCUGCUGUGUGGACGCAAGACAGAAGCAGAGACACCGAGAGCGUUGGGUGAGUGAAUGGAGCCGUGUGCACGGAGGGGAUGGAAUGGAGCCUGCUCGGCCUUUCUCCACCCACGCCCCUGUGGACCCGUCAAAGUCGCGCUGCGGUCCAGAGAUGAGACGCCACGACGCUGAUUUACUAUUCAGAGGUUAUUCAUCGCCUGUGGAUAAAAAGACAAUUGAAUUAAGUUGUUGGAAGCGCCGAGGCUGCGGCAGCGCAGGCGAAGCUGCGUGAACCGAGACGGAGCGACGCAGAGAGCGACGCCUGAUGCUCCGAUGCUCCGAUGCUCCGAUGCUGCUUCUUGGAUCGAGAAAAACAAACAGUUUGCA